UAGGGAAUCUUCGGCAAUGGGGGCAACCCUGACCGAGCAACGCCGCGUGAGUGAAGAAGGUUUUCGGAUCGUAAAGCUCUGUUGUAAGAGAAGAACGAGUGUGAGAGUGGAAAGCUCACACUGUGACGGUAACUUACCAGAAAGGGACGGCUAACUACGUGCCAGCAGCCGCGGUAAUACGUAGGUCCCGAGCGUUAUCCGGAUUUAUUGGGCGUAAAGCGAGCGCAGGCGGUUAGAUAAGUCUGAAGUUAAAGGCUGUGGCUUAACCAUAGUACGCUUUGGAAACUGUUUAACUUGAGUGCAGAAGGGGAGAGUGGAAUUCCAUGUGUAGCGGUGAAAUGCGUAGAUAUAUGGAGGAACACCGGUGGCGAAAGCGGCUCUCUGGUCUGUAACUGACGCUGAGGCUCGAAAGCGUGGGGAGCAAACAGGAUUAGAUACCCUGGUAGUCCACGCCGUAAACGAUGAGUGCUAGGUGUUGGGUCCUUUCCGGGACUCAGUGCCGCAGCUAACGCAUUAAGCACUCCGCCUGGGGAGUACGACCGCAAGGUUG
rnacentral:rRNA from 1 species